CCCAAACCUAAUACCCGACCCGAACUCUCUUCUUCCUCUUUCUCAUGCGCGCGGAUGACUCGACAUCAACAGAGAGUGUUCUCCACCUGCGAUCUCGGCAUCACCGCGUCACCUGAAAAACAUUGCCGUAUCUCGAUGAUUCUGACGUUGUCCAGCCCAUCUCUGGUGAAGCAAUAGCCUCCUCGGUCGUUUCUUACUCACUAUCGGCGGCGGUUCAGCAGCUAGGGCACCACGAGAUUUUGGACUCGCGUUGUUCCCAGCCGAUCGACUCCCGACGUUCCUCCUCGAUCUGUUGCUGGAGAGUGAUCUGUAUCUCCACAUCAUCUGGAUUGGAUCAAAGCGAGCGUUAUCAUUUGGGGGUGACCAGCCUAGGAGGAGGCGUUGGAUCAGCAUACUGGUGGAUUUUCCUCUGUGUCGAUCACUGCCCUCUUCCUUUCCUACGGCCGUUGAGGUUUCGGUUGAAGAAAUGGGGUUCGAUUGAGUUUCUGGGCAGAGGCUGGUAGGGUUGUGAACUUGUGAUUCGUUGCUAUACCUCAAGGACCUUGAUCGGAGAUGAGCCGCGUGACGUGGGUGGUUCUGUUGAUACGAGUUAUAUCAAGGCGGG